rnacentral:rRNA from 1 species
GACGAACGCUGGCGGCGUGCUUAACACAUGCAAGUCGAACGGAAAGGCCCUGCUUUUGUGGGGUGCUCGAGUGGCGAACGGGUGAGUAACACGUGAGUAACCUGCCCUUGACUUUGGGAUAACUUCAGGAAACUGGGGCUAAUACCGGAUAGGAGCUCCUGCUGCAUGGUGGGGGUUGGAAAGUUUCGGCGGUUGGGGAUGGACUCGCGGCUUAUCAGCUUGUUGGUGGGGUAGUGGCUUACCAAGGCUUUGACGGGUAGCCGGCCUGAGAGGGUGACCGGCCACAUUGGGACUGAGAUACGGCCCAGACUCCUACGGGAGGCAGCAGAGGAGAAUAUUGCACAAUGGGCGGAAGCCUGAUGCAGCAACGCCGCGUGCGGGAUGACGGCCUUCGGGUUGUAAACCGCUUUCGCCUGUGACGAAGCGUGAAUGACGGUAAUGGGUAAAGAAGCACGGGCUAACUACGUG